GUUACAGCAGGAUGCACAGCCAACAGCUAUGGUUUGCAUGCCCUGCCGAAGGACCCUAUCAGAAUAGGUGGUUGGAGUUUGUUGGUCCCCAACAAAGUGCACAGUAGGGUGCCAGACUGAUCCUCUGGUUAUGAACGGAUGCCGGGACCUACCAGAAGCAGCAAAGCUUGUCAGGCAAGACCACAGAAUAAAAGUGUGUCAUGCGACACAAGUAGACUUGUAACACCACCUCCAUUGUUGCAAGAGUCUCCCUCGACUCCUAUGAAAAGGACAUGAGGCCUCUGAUAGUGACCCGUGUUAUUCCCCUGAUGACUGCCCAGACGGCAUCAUCAACAACGACAGCUAAUGUGUGUUAUGCGAAAUUUGAAAAGUUGUAUUAAACAAUACCUGGUUUGAAAAAUA